rnacentral:rRNA from 1 species
UACGUAGGUGGCAAGCGUUAUCCGGAAUUACUGGGCGUAAAGCGCACGCAGGCGGCUCUUUAAGUUUGACGUGAAAGCUCCCGGCUUAACUGGGAGAGGUCGUUGAAAACUGGAGGGCUUGAGGCAAUGAGGGGUGUAGAAUUCCCGGUGUAGUGGUGGAAUGCGUAGAUAUCGGGAGGAAUACCAGUGGCGAAAGCGGCACCCUAGCGUUGUUCUGACGCUCAUGUGCGAAAGCGUGGGGAGCGAACGGGAUUAGAAACCCCUGUAGUCC